CCCGCCUUUGCAUAGUAGUUAAUGCGCUCGGCUGUAGACCGAGAGAUCCCCGGUGCAAAUCCGGGAGGCGGGA
rnacentral:tRNA from 1 species